UACAGAGACUGCAAGCGUUAUUCGGAUUCACUGGGCGUAAAGGGUGCGCAGGCGGCCACGUGUGUGAGGCGUGAAAGCCCGGGGCUUAACCCCGGAAUUGCACCUCAAACUACAUGGCUAGAGCAUUGGAGAGGGGAGCAGAAUUCAUGGUGUAGCAGUGAAAUGCGUAGAUAUCAUGAGGAAUACCAGAGGCGAAGGCGGCUACCUGGACAAUUGCUGACGCUCAGGCACGAAAGCGUGGGGAGCAAAAGGG
rnacentral:rRNA from 1 species